UGGGGAAUUGUUCGCAAUGGGCGCAAGCCUGACGACGCAACGCCGCGUGGAGGUUGAAGGUCUUCGGAUUGUAAACUCCUGUUGCCCGGGACGAAAAGCUCCGACCUAACACGUUGGAGUCUGACGGUACCGGGUGAGGAAGCCCCGGCUAACUCUGUGCCAGCAGCCGCGGUAAUACAGAGGGGGCGAGCGUUGUUCGGAAUUACUGGGCGUAAAGGGCGCGUAGGUGGCCUGUUAAGUCGAACGUGAAAUCCCCGGGCUCAACCCGGGAACUGCGUCCGAGACUGGCAGGCUCGAAUCCGGGAGAGGGAUGUGGAAUUCCAGGUGUAGCGGUGAAAUGCGUAGAUAUCUGGAGGAACACCGGUGGCGAAGGCGGCAUCCUGGACCGGUAUUGACGCUGAGGCGCGAAAGCCAGGGGGAGCAAACGGGAUUAGGGUACCCCGGUAGUCCUGGCCCUAAACGAUGAAUGCUUGGUGUGGCGGGUAUCGAUCCCUGCCGUGCCGAAGCUAACGCAUUAAGCAUUCCGCCG
rnacentral:rRNA from 1 species